rnacentral:rRNA from 1 species
AACGAACGCUGGCGGCAGGCUUAACACAUGCAAGUCGAACGCUCCGCAAGGAGAGUGGCAGACGGGUGAGUAACACGUGGGAACGUACCCUUUACUACGGAACAACUCCGGGAAACUGGAGCUAAUACCGUAUGUGCCCUUUGGGGGAAAGAUUUAUCGGUAAAGGAUCGGCCCGCGUUGGAUUAGCUAGUUGGUGGGGUAAAGGCCUACCAAGGCGACGAUCCAUAGCUGGUCUGAGAGGAUGAUCAGCCACAUUGGGACUGAGACACGGCCCAAACUCCUACGGGAGGCAGCAGUGGGGAAUAUUGGACAAUGGGCGCAAGCCUGAUCCAGCCAUGCCGCGUGUGUGAUGAAGGCCUUAGGGUUGUAAAGCACUUUCACCGGACAAGAUAAUGACGGUAUCCGGAGAAGAAGCCCCGGCUAACUUCGUGCCAGCCGCCGCAGUAA